AGCUGCAAAAGCUUAAACCGUAGCUGAAAGAAGAAAAAUGAGGGAUUAAUGGAGUGUAAAGAUGAAUAAAGACUACCAAGGGUAAAGAAAAUGUUCGUUUAUCCCAUUUUAGCCUUAUGUUGUUUGCUCUUUUCGAAAAGGGUAGACACCAUAAAGAGAGUGGAGACAAAAGAGGAAUGAGUGGCCGCCGGAGACAGGAGGAUCGGUCCUAGUUUCGACAAGGCAGGUCUGAGGCUUACAAGGCCAUUUUGGGCCCAUAUCAAGAUGUCAAAUCCAGCCUCGACGGCGAGUUCUGGCCACGCAGGCUCCCCAACUAGCUCCCAGGGACGAAAAGAAGAGAAUUCUUUAUUUUAAAGGGCAAGAUUGGGAAUAUCUCCAACCAUUACGCUACAAGGUGAUUUUUGUUGAGCCAAUGUAUCUGCUUUUGCAGCUAAUUCAAAAGCUUUUUGCAAAGUUCUCUUCUAGCUAAACCGGUUUCCAACAGUUUCUUAUAACCCUUGUGACAUUAGCAAACUUUCAUCCAAGGAUUACUGUUACAGUCACCAAAACGUACGGUAUGGAUCCAGUAGCUCACUACAGCCACCCGUCAUAUUCAUAUAGUAGUACUGGUAUAACUUUUGGAUCUUGCUUUGUUCAAGUUCAUCAGGAAAAAUUGGGGAAUGGGGAACAAGAAGGAAAAAAAAAAAAAAAACCCCCUUGUCCUGUCCAGGUCCUCGAAGGAAAAAUCAGAAAAUUGGGGAAGACACGACACCUUUUGCUGUAAUACAACACGUGCCUCGAAACAACAUCGCUGGAUUUAGUUCCUUUCUAGUUUCACCUCAACUCACCUAGCAAUCUGUCUGUCUGUUGUUCUGCCAGUGACCCAAAGUCACGAAGAUAAAACCUUUAAUAAAAAAAAAAACAAAAAGGAAAAGCGACAAUUUCACAAAGAAAAUAAGACAUUCAGUUAAAAUAUUUUCCUUGAUGAUUACACGAUACUGUUCCCAAUUUAUCUCAUCAUCAACUUCUGAUCUCAAAUAAGUCGACAGAAACAGAAAAAGGAAAACAAACACUCUCCUAUUCCUAUGGCAGCAGCAGCACUUUCAUUAUCUCUUUACUUAGAUCCCCGACAGCAGCACCUACAUACCCACCUUAACCCCACCAAAGGCCUCCCCUUUCCUUCUUCCGGAAACCCUCUUCUUUCUCUCCACAAACUUGACCGUUACAAUUUCAAACGUUCUCUCCCUUCUUCUUCCUCCACCAACUCUGUUACGUCAGCUCAAUACUACUCCUUUCUUGAUGACCCUUUUAGGGGAAGCCGUUUUUUAACCAAUGAAGAGCUUGAAAAGCUCAAAGCUUUGGAGUCUUUUGUUUAUCUUCAAGAGUUGGAAUCUGGGUCGUUGUGGGUUCGUGCCAUGAGGGCCGAGGAGAUGGAUUUGACUGUUGGGUUGUUGGCCGAGUCAUUUGCUGAGUCAAUGUUGAUGCCUUUGGGAUAUGAAGCUUUGUUGAGGUUCUUGGUCAAGCAGUAUUUGAUUGAGAGAAGAGCUGUGAUGCCACAUGCUGUUACUCUUGUUGGGUUUUAUAGAGAGAAUGGACAGAGAGGAGAGGAACUGGCUGGGACCGUGGAAGUUUGCUUUGACAAAAGGGGUGCUAACUCUUCUCCUCCUUCACCUACCCCUCCCAAGAAUUCGCCUUAUAUUUGUAACAUGACAGUCACAAAGCAGCUUAGAAGGAGGGGCAUUGGAUGGCAUCUUCUCAAGGCAAGUGAGGAACUAAUAUCUCAAAUGACUUCUUCAAAAGAGGUGUACUUGCAUUGCAGAAUGAUUGAUGAGGCUCCAUUCAACAUGUACAUAAAAGCAGGAUACAAUGUUCUUCAGACAGAUAGUAUCUUUAUCCUGUUGACAUUACAGAGACGUAAGCACUUGAUGCGCAAGAAACUUCCUGUUUUUAACAAUUUAGCAGAAUCAGAUAUAUCAGACUCUGGUCAAUUUCAGGAUAAAUUAUGGAAAGGUGAGUGAAAAGAUGAUAAAACGGAUCGUUCCAGGGUUAAAUCUUGACAUCAGGUUGGUUCUAAAUGGUUGAGCACUUUAGAAGGCCUGAAAUAUCCACCGGAUUGGUAUCAAAUAAGGCAAGCUAGCUAGCUAUCUAUCUUCUUCAUCGAUCCUUGUCUUCUUCUUCUUCUAAAUUUACUGACAGUAGAAGUUUGUUCCUUCGGUUUCAAUCAACAUUAAGGCUGCUCCAACAAUUAUAUGAUUUUGUGUAUCUAUACUUGAAGAAUGUAAUAAUUAAGAUAUUUGACAAUUUGAUGCACCUAUGAAAGUUGAUCAAUUAUAACUCUUUUUCUUUUGUUUUUUGCUUA